UACAGGGGGGGCAAGCGUUGUUCGGAAUUACUGGGCGUAAAGGGUCUGUAGGUGGCCAACUAAGUCAGACGUGAAAUCCCUCAGCUUAACUGGGGAACUGCGUCUGAUACUGGAUGGCUUGAGUGUGGGAGAGGAAUGCGGAAUUCCAGGUGUAGCGGUGAAAUGCGUAGAUAUCAGGAGGAACACCAAUGGCGAAGGCAGCUCGCUGGGACGGUACUGACGCUGAGACGCGAAAGCGUGGGGAGCAAACAGG
rnacentral:rRNA from 1 species